GAGUGAAGGAGGAAGAUGGAGGGAUCAGGGAGUCUCCAUUAGAUAUGAUGGACCAGGAGCCCAGGCCCGAGCCAAAUGGACCCUGAGGACAGGCUGAUGGAGUAGAAAUAUCCCAGGAAGACACAAACAAAACCCAUGAUAUUUGCUUACUUGUGUCCAGGAAUGGGAACACACAGGGGCUGUGCUCUGGAACACCCUGUGGCCACGGGACAACACAGCACAGGGUCGUCUAAGGCUGUGUACACAGAAGGAGCUGGAGGCCCCCCAAUAUCCUCACAGGCUCCCCGCCCAAUGAUUUCAUCUGCCGGCAGCUCUCUGCUUAGAGUAGCAGCCAGAUCUGGGAUCGCACCGUCCUUUGGGAUUCCCAGUGGCCAAGGGCAUCUUGUCAAAAGCCAAAACUUUGGAAGCCAAGGCCAAGGAAGCCAGGAUGGAGCAGAGAGAAAAUGGGGUCAGCCCGGGGCAGGACUCCAGUGUCUGUAGAAUGCAGGGAUAGGUCAGGGUGCCAGGCAAGGAGGUCAGCAGUCCACAAAAGCUCCACAGGAGUGUCCACUAGGGCUCAGAGGCUGGCUUGACCAGGUAGCCACUGAAGGUGAUGUAGGUGUCGAACUCGUCACUGAAAAUGGCGUUCUCACGCUCGCCCUUGAAGAGACGCACCCAGACCUCAUCCUCCUCCCGCAGCUCCAUCAUCAGGCUCUGACUCUGCAUGAUGCUGCGGUCGCUCACCUGCGCAUACAGGAUCACCACCUCCUCCUCGUUCUUCAUGAUGUGCAGGACCCGGGAGACGGCCUGAUUGACAGCAGCUACUUAAUGUUUGCUGAAUGAAAACAGAGAAGAGGAAGAAGAAACAAAGGGUUUUGGGUUUUUGGCACCAAAUUCUGCCCGGAAACUUGGGUGUUAAGUUGAGCCAAUGGGCAGGAAAGCCCAAGUCAGCAUGGAGCCUUGUGCAUGCCUCUCAUUUGAAGACCCUACAAAAUAUUUCCCCACAGUCUUAGGUCUGCUGAGGGUCACAUGCAUGAAGACAAGGGACUGCCAUCCUCAAGUCCUUUAUAACUUCUCAAGAGAAGCUGAUGCCUGGUCUGCCGGUCCAUCCUUACCGGCUCAUUCCUAGCCUGGUACGCAGACAGAGAGGGAGAGGGGUCACAGUAAAGGUGUGGAAUUUUCCAAGAUGGCUUUUUCCUCGCCCUCCUGACUUGAGACAAAAGCGUGGCAGCUUAAAACAAAGGUUUUGUUGUCUUGGUAUCCAAACCAGCAGACUUCUGUUGUUGAACUCGCUCAACAAGCUCAAGGCCAGAUCAGGAUAUGCUACCUUACAGUCACAGGCCAGUCUACCGCCCCAGCCCUUGAGAAGAGACUGGACUUUUUGGCUUUCUGGGUUCCCUCUCUGCUUUGCAUAGGGUCUUUUCUUUGUGUGUCAGCUGCGUGUGUUUCCUCGCUCGCCAACAAACGCCUUUCUUCAGCUGUUGCCGCUGUCUGUGGCGUUUGAGACUUCUUUUCUGAGGUCGCUUGUGCUUGAGAUUCUUCCUGGUUUUUUUGUUUUUUGUUUUUUUUUUGUUUUGUUUUGUUUUUUAGUUCGUUAACUGGCAGAGAAAAUGAGCCUGAGUGAGCCUUCUAGACUGUAUCACUGCUUUAUAAAUGAGUAAGUUGCUUG
rnacentral:lncRNA from 1 species